CACGAACCGUACGAACGUUAUUCGGAAUUACUGGGCGUAAAGGGCUCGUAGGCGGCCAACUAAGUCGGACGUGAAAUCCCCAGGCUCAACCUGGGAACUGCGUCCGAUACUGGAUGGCUUGAAUCCGGGAGAGGGAUGCAGAAUUCCAGGUGUAGCGGUGAAAUGCGUAGAUAUCUGGAGGAAUACCGGUGGCGAAGGCGGCAUCCUGGACCGGCAUUGACGCUGAGGAGCGAAAGCCAGGGGAGCAAACGGG
rnacentral:rRNA from 1 species